AAGAAUUACAGCUCAUGCUCCUUCCUUCACUCCCAACACGAAACAGGUCAUGCUUCCUUCCUUCCUUCCUUCAGAAGCUGAAAAGUUAUAGAUCUACAAUAUUCUCCCGCAGAGAGAAACAAUGGAGUGGAUUACUGGAUUGGAAGCUCGAAAUCAAGCAGAUUGAAGAUAAGAAUAGCAGGUUGUUCAAGAAAAUAAUUCUAGGAGCCAAUUGACAGGACGAUGCUAGAAGAACUUGGUGUUGCUCUUGUGCAAACAGGACGGAGAAAGGGAAGAACAGGGUCACUUCUUUUAACAGAGAAUAACAUCCCAAAGUGUAAUUAAUGGCUUCUUGUGACACAUCAACCCUCCAAGAAGAGGUAUGAAAGUUGAUACUAAGAUGCAACAUUUUGAUGUUAGACAAGUAAGUAAAUUCUAUGAUUUCUAUUGUUGGUUCUGCUCCAAGAUUACAACUAUAAUUGUAAAGCUCCAAAACAUUCUUCAAUUAAUGAGUCUGUCUAUCUUUCCCAAGCUAUAGAUGGGCACUGCAUAUAUCAAUGCAACAUUUUUGUUUUG